rnacentral:rRNA from 1 species
UACGAAGGGGGCUAGCGUUGCUCGGAAUGACUGGGCGUAAAGGGUGCGUAGGUGGUGAGGUAAGUCGGAUGUGAAAUCUCCGGGCUCAACCCGGAAAUGGCAUUGGAAACUACCUUGCUGGAGGAUUUGAGGGGGGAUUGGAAUACUUGGUGUAGCAGUGAAAUGCGUAGAUAUCAAGUGGAACACCAGUGGCGAAGGCGAAUCCCUGGAAAAUACCUGACACUGAGGCACGAAAGCUAGGGGAGCAAACAGG